GGACGCCUUAGAGGGUGAGAGCCCCGUACGGUUGGACACCAAGCCUCUGUAAAGCUCCUUCGACGAGUCGAGUAGUUUGGGAAUGCUGCUCUAAAUGGGAGGUAAAUUUCUUCUAAAGCUAAAUAUUGGCCAGAGACCGAUAGCGCACAAGUAGAGUGAUCGAAAGAUGAAAAGCACUUUGAAAAGAGGGUUAAAUAGCACGUGAAAUUGUUGAAAGGGAAGCGUUUGCGACCAGACCUUUUCCUGGCGGAUCAUCCGGUGUUCUCACCGGUGCACUUCGCCAGGUUGAGGCCAGCAUCGGUUUCCGCAGGGGGAUAAAAGCUUGGGGAAUGUGGCUCCUCCGGGAGUGUUAUAGCCCCUCGCAUAAUCCCUUGCGGGGACCGAGGACCGCGCUUCGGCAAGGAUGCUGGCGUAAUGGUCGUCAACGACCCGUCUUGAAACACGGACCAAGGAGUCGAACAUUUGUGCGAGUGUUUGGGUGUCAAACCCUCACGCGUAAUGAAAGUGAACGGAGGUGAGAGCCCUCGCGGGUGCAUCAUCGACCGAUCCUGAUGUCUUCGGAUGGAUUUGAGUAGGAGCAUAACUGUUCGGACCCGAAAGAUGGUGAACUAUGCGUGGAUAGGGUGAAGCCAGAGGAAACUCUGGUGGAGGCUCGCAGCGGUUCUGACGUGCAAAUCGAUCGUCAAAUCUGCGCAU
rnacentral:rRNA from 1 species